AGCCAGACAUUCAGGCGUUUCUGUCUCACUCCUUUGUGAUUGAGCCAUCUGCCAGAGGAAAGACACCAGUGUCAGUAUCCAUGCAAACUCUGACUGGACAAAGUAGACUGUGGCUGACUGGGGAUGCCUGAAAAUACAGAAAACAAAACCGCAGUAAGCAAAACCAUGGACCAAGGGGGACUACAAUACCAAAGGAGUCUUCUUCAGGACCAACUAUACAAAUUCCAGCAUUAGAACAGAUCAAAUCCACCAAGCCCAGAGACAAUUCUCUGUUAGAAACAUCAAAGCAUGGACCAUGGGACACUGAACUAUUCUCCUGGAAGCAGCCCUUCCAAAAGAGGGCAAAGAAGGACUUCCAUUCAUCGUUUUGGUGUACAGCAUAGCCUUUUUGAGCCUUUCUUCAGCCUCAUGAUGUGACCAGAACCACGUGAGCAUUCCAAGAGCAGACACACCCUACUUACAGAUAAGAGCACCUCCUUGCCUUGUUUACAAAGCUCUUCAGUAUGCCAUAUACACUUGGCUUGACUUUUGGCCACAAUAGCAAACUAAAAUGAUCUCUUGAGAGGGCUGUUAUUAAAAACUACUCAGCAUGGUGUAGUUGUAAUUGUUUACCCCAAAAAAUAUCACCUUAGGCCGGGCACAGUGGCUCAUGCCUGUAAUCCCAGUACUUUAGAAGGCCAAGGUGGGUAGAUCACCUAAGGUCUGGA